rnacentral:rRNA from 1 species
GAUGAACGCUGGCGGCGUGCCUAAUACAUGCAAGUCGAGCGAACGGACGAGAAGCUUGCUUUUCUGAUGUUAGCGGCGGACGGGUGAGUAACACGUGGAUAACCUACCUAUAAGCCUGGGAUAACUUCGGGAAACCGGAGCUAAUACCGGAUAAUAUUUUGAACCGCAUGGUUCAAAAGUGAAAGACGGUCUUGCUGUCACUUAUAGAUGGAUCCGCGCUGCAUUAGCUAGUUGGUAAGGUAACGGCUUACCAAGGCAACGAUGCAUAGCCGACCUGAGAGGGUGAUCGGCCACACUGGAACUGAGACACGGUCCAGACUCCUACGGGAGGCAGCAGUAGGGAAUCUUCCGCAAUGGGCGAAAGCCUGACGGAGCAACGCCGCGUGAGUGAUGAAGGUCUUCGGAUCGUAAAACUCUGUUAUUAGGGAAGAACAUAUGUGUAAGUAACUGUGCACAUCUUGACGGUACCUAAUCAGAAAGCCACGGCUAACUACGUG